CAAAUAUAAUUUGCAGGAGGUGGGUGAGUAAAACAAAUUAAAAAAGAAAAGAAACAGAAUGGAGUCUAAGAGAAGGGGUACAGAAUUGAAACAGGGAUGGAAAGGAAAGAGCAUGGCUUCUGUUUCUGCACCCCCAUUCCACUUGUUCAUGGUAUUUGGCAUCGUCAUUAGCUUGUUAUGUUUUUCUCAGUACAAAAACUUCAAGGCUCAGUUACACAACACUGCCAUCAACUUUCAAUUACUCAUCUUCUUCUUCCCCUUCUUGCUUAUGUUUUUCAUUGGUUCAUAUUCUACCGGUGGAAAGCUCAACUUUCACACCCUCGGAGCAUGACAAAAUCACCUUACCCGGUAUCCUCCGCGCGCAACUGCGAAGACUAAUCCCUCGAGCAUUGUGAGACCCAAAUGGGUAGCAAGCUCUCCCUAAGAAUUUUAACGCUGCUGCAUUUCCAAGGCUGGAUUCGAACUCAGUUCUAAAUGAAUACUUGAAUUAGUUUACUACAACACGGCACUACAAAAAGUGAGAAUUAAGGUGCUGAAUAUUGUGAUAUCAUACUUAUUUCAUUUAUGCAAAAUAUUCAUAUCUAAUAAAGACAUUCAAAGUAAUGAUAAAAA